rnacentral:SRP_RNA from 1 species
GCCAGGCAUGGUGCCGCAUGCCUGUAGUCCCAGCUACUCGGGAGGCUGAGGCAGGAGAAUCGCUUGAACCCGGGAGAUGGAGGUUGCAGUGAGCCAAGAUCAUGCCAUUGCACUCCAGCCUGGGUGACAGAGUGAGACUCUGUCUCAA